UUCCUUGGAUCUCCAGAGUUGGUAAGAUAGCUCCAGCUCAGGAAGAAGAGCCUGCACCCAAUUUCCUUUCAAACAGCAGAGACGAACAGUUCCCCUGGCCAUCUUGAAAUUGAUAUGCCUGCUCCCCGUUUUGCCUUCUACCAUGAUUGAAAGCCUGCUAGAAGACCAGCAGAUGCCAGCAACCAUGCUUCUUGUAAAGCCUGCAGAACUUAUCUCUGUAUAGAUCCCAUUCUUGUUUUUCCUUUUGAAUGCAUCAUUGAAAAAGGUGUGUUUCUCUGGACCAACUACGGUGGGAGUUUCCGAUGUAAAGGAGGAACCAGAGCUGUGUUACAGAAACAGUACACAAUUGCCUCAGAGAAGCACCAUGUGUUUCCAAAGUGUGAAUCUGAAAACCAUCCAUCUGGGCAUGUUGGCAUCUUCCUGAGUUGUAUGUGAUUGAAAGAAAUGUAUUCAACAUUUUGCAACUCUUUGGCUGCAUGAGAAAGAGAAUAAGGUAAGGAGAUCUUUUCCCAUUUCCAGUUGUUGAGAAUCAAGUCUGCUCCUUUAGAUUGGAAUACCUUGCCCACUCUUCUGCCUGAAUAGCCCCAAGCGUUCAUCAAGAUUCACAGCACCAGUUGCCUCCUUAGUGAAUUCCUCUGUCACCCUAGCUCUGUAUUUGUCACACAACUAACUCUAUGCAUACUCAUAUGAAAAUGAUUAUUUACUUUGAUUAAAAUUAUUUCUUCAGCUGUUGCUUCUCCUAUAAUCUAUGAACUCCUAAAAUGGAAGGCAGUUGGUCUUUAAUGCAAUUCAAUUCAACGAAUAAUAUUACAAUGUUCCAGAUACUAAUCUAGAGGCUGCAGAAACAAUUCUGAAUAAGAAGAGAGCAUUUUUGCCUUCUAGAAUUCACAGUCUAGCUGGGGAGAUAGAAAUUGAGCAAGUAAUUAGAAUUAAAGAUGAUGCUUGGUAAGGAGUUAAGAUAACUGCAUCUGAAAUCUCACGUAGAUGAAAACAAAAAGUUUAAAGUUUAAACUUAACUUGAAUAUUGUUUGUAUUCAUGGUAGUUUUUGUCUUGCAUGGCUUAGACAUUUAGAUUAAUUUUCUAGAUUGUUAAAAUCAUUGUAUAUAUUUCUUGUGAAGGUAUAGAACAGUCACUAAAUUAUGGGCCAGGCAUAUUGUUAGGUUUAUGUGUGUAUAUACACACAUAAGUUAUAUUAUAUAUAACUUAUAAAUAAUAUUCACUUAUAGUGAAUUUAUA
rnacentral:lncRNA from 13 species